AUACGGAGGAUCCGAGCGUUAUCCGGAUUUAUUGGGCUUAAAGGGAGCGUAGGUGGACAGUUAAGUCAGUUGUGAAAGUUUGCGGCUCAACCGUAAAAUUGCAGUUGAUACUGGCUGUCUUGAGUACAGUAGAGGUGGGUGGAAUUCCUGGUGUAGCGGUGGAAUGCUUAGAUAUCACGAAGAACUCCGAUUGCGAAGGCAGCUCACUGGACUGCAACUGACACUGAUGCUCGAAAGUGUGGGUAUCAAACAGGAUUAGAUACCCUGGUAGUCCACACAGUAAACGAUGAAUACUCGCUGUUUGCGAUAUACAGUAAGCGGCCAAGCGAAAGCAUUAAGUAUUCCACCUGGGGAGUACGCCGGCAACGGUGAAACUCAAAUGAAUUGACGGGG
rnacentral:rRNA from 1 species